AAAUAGCUGUGGCAAAACCAGAGAUUUUUCUAAUUGCAGGUGUCACAUUUGAAUGUUCAACUCUCAUCCCUCACAGAGGUGACCACUAUUAAAAGAUUCUUGUCUCAGGCUGGAAUGGUACUCUGACUCAAUAGGCGUAUUCGUUAUGUGGCUGACAUUAGGCUGGCUGGUUCUCACGAGACAGCCAGGCUUGAGAAAGAACAAAGCACAGGAGAGCCAUGAAACUCUUAAAGGGAUAAAAAUAAAAAUCUCCUUAAACUCUUUAAAAAAUAAUUCAAAAGAAACUUAGACAUUUGCUAGGAGAAAAACCAGUUGUCUGGCAAAAGCAAUGACGUUAACUGUUUACUUAACCUCUUAGGGCACUAUGGGACAGAUGGAUAAACUAGCAACUAGCAUGACUUGCUCAAAGAGCUAAUAUUUAUGCUGCUAAGAACUUGUAUUUCCUUUUGUGCAGAUAUACUAUUUUUUAAAAAGCCAGCAUAUUUGUUUUAAUUUAUGUCAAGAAAUAGACUACUUCAUAAACAAACUCUAGGCCUCUGAUGAACAGGGCAGUUAUCCCAAGUCACUGGUUACCUCUCCCUGAGCUGCUCCCAUUUCAUCCAAAGAACUUUUAAGGACUGCUUUUAAAGGAAAAAGAGACAAGAUUAACAGAGCAUUCCUCCACGUUGUCAUAUGAAGUUAUGUCUUGACUUUUGAUCGUGAAAUGGGAUUGUGAAGGCCAGGAAAGCCUUUAAGACAUGCUAGGAAAACAUGAUUCACAGAAUCGAGGCAGCAACCCCAGACCACUUGGUUUCCCACAAAGAACGACUGUUCCCUCCUCAGAGGCCAGAUAUCUGUCCUCAGCCAACCACUUUCUAAAUGACCACCAGGGAAGCCAUUUGUAAGAAUUCUCAUGAGCUCAAGGCUGUUAGUGCUUUUCAACUGAAGAUUAGGUUGCAACAGAAGACUGGAAACGCCAAUGUUCUGGCCAGGAAAGGAAUCUUCUUUUUAAAAAAAUCAUCUGGCAUGAAACUUGGCUGAGGUUACCAGGGUAUAGAAUGAGGUAUGUAAAGAGCGAGCACGGACCCUUCUCUUCUCUUCUUGUUUUCAAGUCUCUGAAUGAAUGAAUCCUAUUUUUUUAAAUAAAUCUUGUUUGUAUUUUAAUAGCAUCCUUGACCAGAAACACAACAUAAACUUAGAGACCAAUUUCCAGGAAAUCUUAAAUACCUCUUAAAUAUAUACAUUUCCAAGUGCAAGUACUGGGAUCCCUCAGUUAUUGAUGGAAACAUUAACUUCCAGAUUCAAUCCCAUGCUUUUUUAUCACUUAUAAAAGCCCUGCUCUCUUCUUUAUAUAUAAACCCGAUGACAAAGGACCCUGGCACUAGAUGUUCUUCUAAAUUCAGCUUAGUUACCUGUGGAAGGAAGGGAUGGGUAUGCCAUACACCCUUGCAUGUUGUCAAUCUGGCAACCAUUAGGAAAGCCACUGAGGGAGACAGACACCUGCUCUGUGAUGAGGAACAGUCCUUCUUUGUGGGCAAUGAAAUGACCCGUGCCUGAUUCAACCUGUGAUUGGUCUUAUAGGUUCCAUGUGUUACUCCGAUGUCCCCCAAACUUCCUUGGCAUUCGUAAUCCCAGUCCAUGAGCUGAAAGUAAAAAUACCAAGUCGUCUGAUAAAAUACCGGCUAUAUCUAUCUCAUAAUUGGUUUUCUCCUUUCCCCUUAAAAGUUCUCCUGGGGAGGAUGGGAGGGAGCAGCUUUCAGAGAGAUGAGCAGAUGCCGCUCUGUAUAAAGAGAUCAUUGUUCGUAAGGUGAAGGUCCCUAUAAAAGAGGCCUGAGGAAAGGGAAGCACAGGGAUACACACCCGUAACCUUAGCACUGGGAAGGCUAAGGCAGAGAAGGAUAGCUUGUGUGCAGCCAGCCUGGAUUACAGAAGGGAGACCUUGCUUCAAGAAAGAAAGAAAUCCUCAAAGCCUAUGCGCUCCUUCCUGUGCUUGCCCUCGCCACAUCUCUCCCCAAACUGCGUGAGCAUAUGCGCAUGCGUGCGCGUGUGCCCAUGUCUAGUGUUGGGAAUCAAAUCCAGGGAUCCAUGUUCCGUAAUAUCUGCUAUACUCCCAGCCCCAGCUGAGGAAACUAGAAGGAAAUAGCUAUAGAACAGAAAUUAAGUUUCACAGGAAACACAAUUUUCUAACUGGCAUAUUUGGACUUUCUAGCAAGGAAUACAUUUCCACUGUUACAUACCUCCUCGCCUAAGGCAUUUUGUUUCAGCAGCAGAAGCAGGUCAAGGUAUUCUGGUCUUGACUCACCACUCAUCUGGAGCAUCCUUGCUAUGAUUAUCAGAACCGUCUCCAGACAUUCUCCCACUGCUUAUGUAAACUAAGAAUAUGCACACUGCGGUGUUUAACUAUUUGCAAAUGGCAUCUAUAAAUUCAGUCAUUUGUUGAUAAGAGAGGAUGGUUAAUCUCAGGCCCAAGCCUUGACAAGUUGGAUUCAGUUCACACUUUGACUACAAUUGUUUGCCUCUCCGAUUUUGGAAGAUAAGUGACUACCUGGGUCUUGGCUCUCUCUUUGUAGAGUCAGCCUAGUUACAGCUUCUAUGUGACCUUUUGGGGUAUAAUUUGUAUAAUGGCUAAGUGACACAUAGUAUAUAUUUAGGAAAAAAUACUGCCACUAUUGCUAUCAUAUCUCCCCAAGAGUCUAGUAAAAUCUGUAGGGUUGCAAUAGAUAUUUUCAUUGAUGAUUGUGACAGAGGUAAGUUCCCAAGGGACAAGAAUUUUUGUCCCUUUCAUAUGUUGGUAGGUACCUAGUCCAAAAAUGACAUCUGGCACACAGGACAUUCAGUAAACAUUAGGUAAAUGACAGUGACUCUUUUCAUCUUCUUUUAUUUCAUGUUAUUAUUUUAUUUGCAGUAAUGUGGAUCAAGCCUAAGACCCUGCACACGAGAGGCAAGUGCUGCACCACUCUCCAACUCUGGACGACUUUUGAUGUGGCCAGGUAUUGUGCGGCCAUGGGUGAUCACAGCCGACUCCAGAGGCCUAGGCAAGAGGACAGAGAACUGGAGGCCUGCUGUGGCUACACAAAUACCCAGCUUCCAAAAAUAUCUUUUAAGCAUCAGAAUGAAUGAGCCCACAUCAACGAAGGUUCAGAUGAGAACACCGGCAGUGGAAAGACCGACAGCAAAGCCAUGGCCAUAAUCAGAAUAACAUCAGAAUGGAAUUGGAAGAGAUUUGAUUGCUCACUGCUGUCUCCUUGAAGAAUCUCAAACAGGAGUUCAUGCAUUAGGGCUCGAGAGAUGGCUCAACAGUUAAGAAAACUGGCUGCUCCUGCAGAGGUCCUGAGUUCAAUUCCCAGCAACCACAUGGUGGCUCACAACGCUCUCGAGGGGGAAUCUUAUGCUCUUUUCUGGCAUAUGAACGUAUAUGCAGCAGAACA